rnacentral:tRNA from 1 species
UGCGCCGGUAGUGAAAUGGCAUCACGCGGGGCUCAUAACCCCGAGUUGCGGGUUCGACUCCCGCCUGCGCUACCA